AUGUCACUCCUAAAAGAGCUUCAAGAGCAGUCUUCUUACUUCAGAAGGAUGGUCGCUUUCAAUAGCUGUGAACAUUUUAAAAUCAGUGGGCGUGUGAAGCAAGGCAGCAAGAACCGCCACCUGGGCACCUGGGCAUUGAAGGCUCCAGAGAGGUCUCUGCCAUCUUUGGUCUUUCAAGAAUGUUUAAGGCAUCAGCCAUGACUGCUUCUUGAGGAAACCUCUUCCUGCUGCUAAUAAUGCAAACUGCUUCUGAUUUAUAGCUUCAAAUACUUUAGGUAAUACCAAUAACUUUAGGGUCAGUAGUGCCUGCAGAGCAUAGCCUUGUUAAUCAGUCAAAAUGAUUUCAUGUGUUUUCUUAGAAGCAUCAGAAAGGGCAAAGGAUUUAUGGGUGAUACCAUUUUAUGUGCCACUGUGGUGUACAAUAUUGUCAUCAUGUGUUAAAACCAGCAAUGGUCUUCAUUGAUUUUAAUCAUAGUCAUAACCACCUCAUUCUCUCCGGGGCCCCCCCCUAUAAAAAAGAUAAAAGAAAUCUGAAGACAUUUUAUAUGACGACUUAAAAUACUUUUAGUCAUUAUAACUUUUUAAAUGCUUUCAUAGUCAGCCAAGAUAAAGUGCCACUUCUCACAGAUCAUAUGUCUUUCUCACUAAAAUUCCAACUAGAGACACUUAAGGCUAUUGAAAUGAGAGCAUUUUAAAUGUGGACGGGGCUUAAUAAAUAACCACCUCUGAAGAGACUUAUUUGCCUC
rnacentral:lncRNA from 1 species